rnacentral:lncRNA from 1 species
CAAGGAGACAGCACGUGAUGAGUUGAGUCCUGAGGAUUCUCAAAGUAAAUCGUGGUGGCGAGGCUUAGGGGGCGGGGGCAAGUUCUCUUCAGGAGACCCUGCCAAGGGAGCAGAAAGAACUCUGUGCCAGAGCAUAACGAAAGUUGAGGCAAGCCUGACAUCCCAGCCCUGCUAGAGUUUCUACUGAGGAAGCCAUCAGAUUCUCGGAGUCUAGAUCUCUGCUGCCCCCUAGUGUUAAUCAUUUUUCAGCUUUAAAGAGGAAAAGAAGAAAAAAACGUAGAGACACUUCUUGGGGGUGCUCCCCAUCAAUGAUUCUCUCUAAAUUAAGAAAGAGGCAGAAGAAAGUAAUGCCUGGCC